GCUAGCCAGUGAUGGCAUGCGAAUCUCGAAAGCCUAUCUCAGUUCGGAUUGGAGGCUGAAACCCGCCUCCAUGAAGUUGGAUUCGCUAGUAAUCGCGCAUCAGCCAUGGCGCGGUGAAUACGUUCCCGGGCCUUGUACACACCGCCCGUCAAGCCAUGGGAGCCGGGGGUGCCUGAAGUUCGUUACCGCAAGGAUCGACCUAGGGCAAAACUGGUGACUGGGGCUAAGUCGUAACAAGGUAGC
rnacentral:rRNA from 1 species